rnacentral:rRNA from 1 species
UACAGAGGUCUCAACCGUUGUUCGGAUUCAUUGGGCGUAAAGGGUGCGUAGGCGGUCGGGUAAGUCGGAUGUGAAAUCUCUGGGCUCAACUCAGGGGCUGCUUCCGAAACUGCCGUGCUAGAGUGUGGGAGAGGCGCGUGGAAUUGCAGGUGUAGCGGUGAAAUGCGUAGAUAUCUGCAGGAACACCCGUGGCGAAAGCGGCGCGCUGGACCACUACUGACGCUGAGGAACGAAAGCUAGGGGAGCAAACAGG